UAUUGUCAACUCUGCUUU
rnacentral:miRNA from 1 species